rnacentral:rRNA from 1 species
GACGAACGCUGGCGGCGCGCUUAACACAUGCAAGUCGAACGGAAAGGCCUGCUUUCCCUUGUGGAUUGCGGGUACUCGAGUGGCGAACGGGUGAGUAACACGUGAGUGAUCUGCCCCCAACUUGGGUAUAAGCCUGGGAAACUGGGUCUAAUUCCCGAUAGGACUGCAGGGUGGUGCCUGUGGUGGAAAACGAUUUUCUAGUGGUUGGGGAUGAGCUCGCGGCCUAUCAGCUUGUUGGUGGGGUAAUGGCGUACCAAGGCGGCGACGGGUAGCCGGCCUGGGGGGGAGGGCGGGACCAUUGGGACUGAGAUACGGCCAAGGAUCCUACGGGAGGCAGCAGUGGGGAAGAUUGCGCGAGGGGCGGAAGCCUAAUGCAGCGACGCCGCGUGAGGGAUGACGGCCUUCGGGUUGUAAACUCCUUUCGACCGCGAGGAAGCCACCUGGUUGGAAGGGUGGUGACGGUAGUGGUAGAAGAAGCACCGGCUAACUACGUG